rnacentral:rRNA from 1 species
UACAGAGGUGCUCAAGCGUUGUUCGGAUUCAUUGGGCGUAAAGGGUGUGUAGGUGGCGUCCGUAAGUCGGGUGUGAAAUUUCCGGAGCUUAACUCCGAAACUGCAUUCGAUACUGACGGUGCUUGAGGACUGGGAGAGGAGACUGGAAUUCAUGGUGUAGCAGUGAAAUGCGUAGAGAUCAUGAGGAAGACCAGUGGCGAAGGCGGGUCGUCUGGACAGUUCCUGACACUGAGACACGAAGGCCAGGGGAGCAAACGGG